rnacentral:rRNA from 1 species
CCCAAAGGUUCCCUCAGAAUGGUUGGAAAUCAUUCGCAGAGUGUAAAGGCACAAGGGAGCUUGACUGCGAGACCUACAAGUCGAGCAGGGACGAAAGUCGGGCUUAGUGAUCCGGUGGUUCCGCAUGGAAGGGCCAUCGCUCAACGGAUAAAAGCUACCCCGGGGAUAACAGGCUUAUCUCCCCCAAGAGUCCACAUCGACGGGGAGGUUUGGCACCUCGAUGUCGGCUCAUCGCAUCCUGGGGCUGUAGUCGGUCCCAAGGGUUGGGCUGUUCGCCCAUUAAAGCGGUACGCGAGCUGGGUUCAGAACGUCGUGAGACAGUUCGGUCCCUAUCCGUCG